UGUAGGUGAACCUGCAGAAGGAUCAUUA
rnacentral:ncRNA from 2 species